ensembl:lncRNA
AGAGGAGAGGGUGAGAAACAGAGAGAGAGAGGGUGAGAAACAGAGAGAGAGAGGGAGAAACAGAGAGAGAGAGAGAGAGGGUGAGAAACAGAGAGAGAGAGAAACAGAGAGAGAGAGAGGGAGAGAGAAACAGAGAGAGAGGGAGAGGGAGAAACAGAGAGAGAGAGAGGGUGAGAAACAGAGAGAGAGAGGGAGAAACAGAGAGAGAGAGAGAGAGAGAGAGGGAGAGUGAGAAACAGAGAGAGAGAGAGGGUGAGAAACAGAGCGAGAGAGAGAGGGUGAGAAACAGAGAGAGAGGGAGGGUGAAAAACAGAGAGAGAGAGGGAGAAACAGAGAGAGAGAGAGAGGGAGAAACAGAGAGAGAGAGGGAGAAACAGAGAGAGAGAGGGAGAGAGAGAGGGAGAAAGAAACAGAGAGAGAGAGAGAGGGAGAAACAGAGAGAGAGAGAUGGUGAGAAACGGAGAGAGAGGGAGAGUGAGAAACAGAGAGAGAGAGAGGGUGAGCAACAGAGAGAGAGAGAGGGUGAGAAACAGAGAGAGAGGGAGGGUGAGAAACAGAGAGAGAGAGGGAGAAACAGAGAGAGAGAAGGAGAAACAGAGAGAGAGAGAGAGGGAGAAACAGAGAGAGAGAGGGAGAGAGAGAAACAGAGAGAGAGAGGGAGGGUGAGAAACAGAGAGAGAGAGGGUGAGAAACAGAGAGAGAGAGAGAAACAGAGAGAGAGAGGGAGAGAGGGGGAGAGAGAAACAGAGAGAGAGAGGGAGAAACAGAGAGAGAGAGAGGGUGAGAAACGGAGAGAGAGGGAGAGUGAGAAACAGAGAGAGAGAGAGGGUGAGAAACAGA